rnacentral:rRNA from 1 species
UACAGAGGGUGCGAGCGUUAAUCGGAAUUACUGGGCGUAAAGCGUGCGCAGACGGUUGCGUAAGUCAGAUGUGAAAGCCCCGGGCUCAACCUGGGAAUUGCAUUUGAGACUGCGUAGCUAGGGUGCGGAAGAGGGAAGCGGAAUUUCCGGUGUAGCGGUGAAAUUCGUAGAUAUUGGGAAGAACACCGGUGGCGAAGGCGGCUCACUGGCCCGUAACUGACGCUCAUGCACGACAGCGUGGGGAUCAAACAGG